AUUGAACGCUGGCGGCAUGCUUUACACAUGCAAGUCGAACGGUAACAGGCCGCAAGGUGCUGACGAGUGGCGCACGGGUGAGUAAUGCAUCGGAACGUGCCCAGUCGUUGGGGAUAACUACUCGAAAGAGUAGCUAAUACCGCAUACGAUCUAUGGAUUAAAGCGGGGGACCGUAAGGCCUCGCGCGAUUGGAGCGGCCGGUGUCAGAUUAGGUAGUUGGUGGGGUAAAGGCUCACCAAGCCAACGAUCUGUAGCUGGUCUGAGAGGACGACCCGCCACACUGGGACUGAGACACGGCCCAGACUCCUACGGGAGGCAGCAGUGGGGAAUUUUGGACAAUGGGCGCAAGCCUGAUCCAGCAAUGCCGCGUGCAGGAAGAAGGCCUUCGGGUUGUAAACUGCUUUUGUACGGAACGAAACGGCUCUGGUUAAUACCCGGGGCUAAUGACGGUACCGUAAGAAUAAGCACCGGCUAACUACGUG
rnacentral:rRNA from 1 species